AUGAGCAAAGCUUACCUUUCCAUGUUGAAAUUAUUUAUGGGCAAGACGUUAUCACUGAAAUUAAGUGGUGGCAGACAUGUCCAAGGAAUAUUGUAGGGGAUUCGAUCCCUUAAUGAAUCUUGUAAUGGAUGAAUGUGUGGAGAUGGCAGCUGGUGGGCAACAGAGCAAUACUGGAAAGGUGGUGAUAUAAGGAAAUGGUGUCAUCUUGUUAGAAAUCUUGGAACAAGGAUAU
rnacentral:lncRNA from 1 species